UGGGGAAUAUUGCACAAUGGGCGCAAGCCUGAUGCAGCCAUGCCGCGUGUAUGAAGAAGGCCUUCGGGUUGUAAAGUACUUUCAGCGGGGAGGAAGGGAGUAAAGUUAAUACCUUUGCUCAUUGACGUUACCCGCAGAAGAAGCACCGGCUAACUCCGUGCCAGCAGCCGCGGUAAUACGAGGGUGCAAGCGUUAAUCGGAAUUACUGGGCGUAAAGCGCACGCAGGCGGUUUGUUAAGUCAGAUGUGAAAUCCCCGGGCUCAACCUGGGAACUGCAUCUGAUACUGGCAAGCUUGAGUCUCGUAGAGGGGGGUAGAAUUCCAGGUGUAGCGGUGAAAUGCGUAGAGAUCUGGAGGAAUACCGGUGGCGAAGGCGGCCCCCUGGACAAAGACUGACGCUCAGGUGCGAAAGCGUGGGGAGCAAACAGG
rnacentral:rRNA from 1 species